CUCCGCUUGGUGUAGUUGGUUUAUCACGUUCGGCUGUAAUAUAAAUUGUUACCGAAAGGUCCCUAGUUCGAUUCUGGGAGCGGAGA
rnacentral:tRNA from 1 species